rnacentral:misc_RNA from 1 species
AGCAGCCGCGGUAAUUCCAGCUCCAAUAGCGUAUAUUAAAGUUGUUGCAGUUAAAAAGCUCGUAGUUGAAUUUCGGGAUCAAGUCGUCGGUCGUGCUCAGGUACGUACUGGCGUCAUUGAUUUCUCCCUUCUGACGAACCAUGAUGUCAUUAAUUUGGUGUCAUGGGAAAUCAGGACUGUUACUUUGAAAAAUUAGAGUGUUUAAAGCAGGCUCACGCUUGAAUACAUUAGCAUGGAAUAAUGAAAUAGGACGUUCGAUCCUAUUUUGUUGGUCUUUAGGAUCAACGUAAUGAUUAAUAGGGAUAGUUGGGGGCAUUAGUAUUCAAUUGUCAGAGGUGAAAUUCUUGGAUUUUAUUGAAGACUAACUACUGCGAAAGCAUUUGCCAAGGAUGUUUUCAUUAAUCAAGAACGAAAGUUAGGGGAUCGAAGACGAUCAGAUACCGUCGUAGUCUUAACCAUAAACUAUGCCGACUAGGGAUCGGAUGAUGUUAAUUUUUAAUGACUCAUUCC